rnacentral:misc_RNA from 1 species
UCUCCGUAGGUGAACCUGCGGAAGGAUCAUUACCGUACAAAAUGUGGGCGGAAUCCGAUGGCCGUCGCUGACUCAAAAGUCGGGCACGCCCGAGUGCGUCCUCUUGCAUAACAAUCCACCCCACCCUUUGUGCGCCACCGCGUGGGCACCCGUCGGGAUUAUCUCGGAGGGGCGCUCGCGUAUUCUCACAAACCCCCCUUUUAGAAGUGUAGAUUUACAACAUAUAUGCAAAAAAUACAACUUUCAACAACGGAUCUCUUGGUUCUG